rnacentral:tRNA from 1 species
GCCUGAGUGGCUAAGUUGGUUCAGCGUCUGACUUCAGCUCAGGUCAUGAUUUCACGGUUCAUGGGUUCGAGCCCCUUGUCGGGCU